rnacentral:rRNA from 1 species
UACGUAGGGGCCUAGCGUUGUCCGGAUUUAUUGGGCGUAAAGAGCUCGUAGGCGGUUCGGCAAGUCGGAUGUGAAAUCUCCACGCUCAACGUGGAGGGGCCAUUCGAAACUGCCGUGACUCGAGUCCGGUAGGGGAGUGUGGAAUUCCCGGUGUAGCGGUGAAAUGCGCAGAUAUCGGGAGGAACACCGGUGGCGAAGGCGGAUCUCUGGGCCUUACCUGACGCUCAGGUGCGAAAGCUAGGGGAGCGAACAGG